ACUCCUACGGGAGGCAGCAGUGGGGAAUUUUGGACAAUGGGCGCAAGCCUGAUCCAGCCAUGCCGCGUGCGGGAAGAAGGCCUUCGGGUUGUAAACCGCUUUUGUCAGGGAAGAAAAGGUUCUGGCUAAUACCUGGGACUCAUGACGGUACCUGAAGAAUAAGCACCGGCUAACUACGUGCCAGCAGCCGCGGUAAUACGUAGGGUGCAAGCGUUAAUCGGAAUUACUGGGCGUAAAGCGUGCGCAGGCGGUUAUGCAAGACAGAGGUGAAAUCCCCGGGCUCAACCUGGGAACUGCCUUUGUGACUGCAUGGCUAGAGUACGGUAGAGGGGGGAUGGAAUUCCGCGUGUAGCAGUGAAAUGCGUAGAUAUGCGGAGGAACACCGAUGGCGAAGGCAAUCCCCUGGACCUGUACUGACGCUCAUGCACGAAAGCGUGGGGAGCAAACAGGAUUAGAUACCCUGGUAGGCUCU
rnacentral:rRNA from 1 species